rnacentral:rRNA from 1 species
CCUACGGGCGGCAGCAGUGAGGAAUAUUGGUCAAUGGACGCAAGUCUGAACCAGCCAUGCCGCGUGCAGGAAGACGGCUCUAUGAGUUGUAAACUGCUUUUGUACGAGGGUAAACGCAGAUACGCGUAUCUGUCUGAAAGUAUCGUACGAAUAAGGAUCGGCUAACUCCGUGCCAGCAGCCGCGGUAAUACGGAGGAUUCAAGCGUUAUCCGGAUUUAUUGGGUUUAAAGGGUGCGUAGGCGGUCGGAUAAGUUAGAGGUGAAAUCGCGGGGCUCAACCUCGCUCCGCCGUUGAAACUGGCGGUCUGGAGUGGGCGAGAAGUAUGCGGAAUGCGUGGUGUAGCGGUGAAAUGCAUAGAUAUCACGCAGAACUCCGAUUGCGAAGGCAGCAUACCGGCGCCCAACUGACGCUGAAGCACGAAAGCGUGGGUAUCGAACAGGAUUAGAUACCCCAGUAGUC